rnacentral:rRNA from 1 species
CACGUAGGCACCAAGCGUUGUCCGGAUUUAUUGGGCGUAAAGAGCUCGUAGGCGGUUCGGUAAGUCGGGUGUGAAAACUUUGGGCUUAACCCAAGCGUGCAUCCGAUACUGCUGUGACUUGAGUUCGGUAGGGGAGUGGGGAAUUCCUAGUGUAGCGGUGAAAUGCGCAGAUAUUAGGAGGAACACCGGUGGCGAAGGCGCCACUCUGGGCCGAAAC